GAUAAGAACGCAGCGAAAUGCGAUAGGUAAUGCGAAUUGCAGAAUCCGUGAGUCAUCGAAUCUUUGAACGCACAUUGCGCCCUCUGGUAUUCCGGAGGGCAUGCCUGUUCGAGCGUCAUUAUCACCCCUCAAGCCCGGCUUGUUGUUGGAUGCAGCGCUUAUCCCGCUCCUCCCAAAGAUAAUGACGGCGUCUGCGACGACUCCUGUACACUGAGCUUUCGGGCACGUACACGGCUAGAAGUCCAGACCCGGUCGCCGUCCCCCCCGCGGGGACACCCAUUACCACAAGGUUGACCUCGGAUCAGGUAGGAAUACCCGCUGAACUUAAGCAUAUCAAUAAGCGGAGGA
rnacentral:misc_RNA from 1 species